rnacentral:rRNA from 1 species
GACGAACGCUGGCGGCGUGCCUAAUACAUGCAAGUCGAGCGAAUGGAUUAAGAGCUUGCUCUUAUGAAGUUAGCGGCGGACGGGUGAGUAACACGUGGGUAACCUGCCCAUAAGACUGGGAUAACUCCGGGAAACCGGGGCUAAUACCGGAUAACAUUUUGAACCGCAUGGUUCGAAAUUGAAAGGCGGCUUCGGCUGUCACUUAUGGAUGGACCCGCGUCGCAUUAGUUAGUUGGUGAGGUAACGGCUCACCAAGGCAACGAUGCGUAGCCGACCUGAGAGGGUGAUCGGCCACACUGGGACUGAGACACGGCCCAGACUCCUACGGGAGGCAGCAGUAGGGAAUCUUCCGCAAUGGACGAAAGUCUGUCGGAGCAACGCCGCGUGAGUGAUGAAGGCUUUCGGGUCGUAAAACUCUGUUGUUAGGGAAGAACAAGUGCUAGUUGAAUAAGCUGGCACCUUGACGGUACCUAACCAGAAAGCCACGGCUAACUACGUGCCAGCCGCCGCCGUAA